UACAGAGGUCCCAAGCGUUGUUCGGAUUCACUGGGCGUAAAGGGUGCGUAGGCGGUCGGGUAAGUCUGAUGUGAAAUCUCACAGCUUAACUGUGAAACUGCAUUGGAUACUAUCCGGCUCGAGGAAUGGAGGGGAGACUGGAAUACUUGGUGUAGCAGUGAAAUGCGUAGAUAUCGGGAGGAACACCGGUGGCGAAGGCGGGUCUCUGGGCCGAUAUUGACGCUGAGGAGCGAAAGCGUGGGGAGCGAACAGG
rnacentral:rRNA from 1 species